rnacentral:rRNA from 1 species
AGAGUUUGAUCCUGGCUCAGGAUGAACGCUGACAGAAUGCUUAACACAUGCAAGUCGAUGGGGAAGUGGUGCUUGCACCAUGGUAACCAUGGCGGACGGGUGAGUAACGCGUAAGGGACUUACCUGCGGGACUGGGAUAACAGUAGGAAACUGCUGAUAAGACCGGAUAAGGUCAUGGAGCUGCAUGGUUUCAUGAUGAAAGGAGACGCCUGCGGAGAGCCUUGCGUCCUAUUAGCUAGUUGGAGGGGUAACGGCCCACCAAGGCGAAGAUAGGUAGCCGGCCUGAGAGGGUGGACGGCCACAAGGGGACUGAGAUACGGCCCUUACUCCUACGGGAGGCAGCAGUGGGGAAUAUUGGACAAUGGGGGCAACCCUGAUCCAGCAAUUCUGUGUGCACGAAGACGGUUUUCGGAUUGUAAAGUGCUUUCAGCAGGGAAGAAGUAAGUGACGGUACCUGCAGAAGAAGCGACGGCUAAAUACGUGCCAGCAGCCGCGGUAAUACGUAUGUCGCGAGCGUUAUCCGGAAUUAUUGGGCAUAAAGGGCAUCUAGGCGGCCUAACAAGUCAGGGGUGAAAACCUGCGGCUCAACCGCAGGCUUGCCUUUGAAACUGUGAGGCUGGAGUAUCGGAGAGGUGGACGGAACUGCACGAGUAGAGGUGAAAUUCGUAGAUAUGUGCAGGAAUGCCGAUGAUGAAGAUAGUUCACUGGACGGUAACUGACGCUGAAGUGCGAAAGCCGGGGGAGCAAACAGGAUUAGAUACCCUGGUAGUCCCGGCCGUAAACGAUGAUUACUGGGUGUGGGCAGGAAGACUGUCUGUGCCGAAGCGAAUGCGAUAAGUAAUCCGCCUGGGGAGUACGGCCGCAAGGCUGAAACUCAAAGGAAUUGACGGGGACCCGCACAAGCGGUGGAGCAUGU